rnacentral:rRNA from 1 species
CCUACGGGAGGCAGCAGUGGGGAAUUUUCCGCAAUGGGCGAAAGCCUGACGGAGCAAUACCGCGUGAGGGAAGACUGCCUAUGGGUUGUAAACCUCUUUUUUCAGGGAGGAAUCAAUGACGUGUACCUGAAGAAUAAGCAUCGGCUAACUCCGUGCCAGCAGCCGCGGUAAGACGGAGGAUGCAAGUGUUAUCCGGAAUCACUGGGCGUAAAGCGUCUGUAGGUGGUUUAAUAAGUCAACUGUUAAAUCUUGAGGCUCAACUUCAAAAUCGCAGUCGAAACUAUUAGACUAGAGUAUAGUAGAGGUAAGGGGAAUUUCCAGUGGAGCGGUGAAAUGCGUAGAUAUUGGAAAGAACACCGAUGGCGAAAGCACUUUACUGGGCUAUUACUAACACUCAGAGACGAAAGCUAGGGUAGCGAAUGGGAUUAGAUACCCCAGUAGUCCUAGCCGUAAACAAUGGAUACUAGAUGUUGAACAGAUCGACCUGUGCAGUAUCAAAGCUAACGCGUUAAGUAUCCCGCCUGGGAAGUAU